UACAGAGGGUGCGAGCGUUAAUCGGAAUUACUGGGCGUAAAGCGCGCGUAGGCGGCUUUGCAAGUCGGGUGUGAAAUCCCCAGGCUUAACCUGGGAACUGCAUUCGAGACUGCAUUGCUAGAGUAUGGGAGAGGGAAGUGGAAUUUCAGGUGUAGCGGUGAAAUUCGUAGAUAUCAAGCAGAACACCUGUGGCGAAGGCGGCCUUCUGGACGAUGACUGACGCUGAGACGCGAAAGCGUGGGGAGCGAACAGG
rnacentral:rRNA from 1 species